GGGGAAUUUUGGACAAUGGGCGAAAGCCUGAUCCAGCAAUGCCGCGUGCAGGAAGAAGGCCUUCGGGUUGUAAACUGCUUUUGUACGGAACGAAACGGUCCUGGCUAAUACCUGGGGCUAAUGACGGUACCGUAAGAAUAAGCACCGGCUAACUACGUGCCAGCAGCCGCGGUAAUACGUAGGGUGCGAGCGUUAAUCGGAAUUACUGGGCGUAAAGCGUGCGCAGGCGGUGCUGUAAGACAGGCGUGAAAUCCCCGGGAUCAACCUGGGAAUUGCGCUUGUGACUGCAGUGCUGGAGUGCGGCAGAGGGGGAUGGAAUUCCGCGUGUAGCAGUGAAAUGCGUAGAUAUGCGGAGGAACACCGAUGGCGAAGGCAAUCCCCUGGGCCUGCACUGACGCUCACGCACGAAAGCGUGGGGAGCAAAC
rnacentral:rRNA from 1 species